rnacentral:lncRNA from 1 species
AUGUUUUCAGCUGAUAUUUUUCAUUUUAAAUUAUUUAUUAAAGUUGGGGUCAUUGUAUGUGGCGAUCUAUUUUUUACAGUCUAUGCUCGCUAUCCCAAGGUUCAUUGCGAUCCCAAGGUUCACUGCGGUUUUCCACAAGAUGCAGAAACUUUUGACAUAUGAAUUCAUUUUGACUAAGGGUAAUGUUUUUGUUCAGAAUUAAUCAUUAUAUAAAAAUCAUUGUAUUUUCUUUGAUAUUAUGUACAGAUUUUAAAAGAAUGUACUUUCUUUUAAUAAAGAACUCUUCACAGCACUGCAGCUAAACAGUCACAACCUCACAGAGCUGCACAACUGCCCCACUCAGAUCAGUGUUGAAGCUGGAACCUCAUCUUGUGUACAGCAAAGGCAGAGCUGAAAAUUCACUGUUUGUCUUGUAUUGUGUGGUAAGUCAUCGUUUUAUUAAUUUUUUUAUUUUAUUGCAACACUAAGUUGUCCAUUCUGUGGCCAAUAUGAUAUAAAGGGCCUAAAAUGGGACUGACGUGAUCAUUGUUUUGAUUUCUAGAUAAGUACUCAUGGGGCUACACAUGCAGCUGAAGUUAGCUUCAUUGAGUAGGACAUUUCUUUCAGUAUACUCUUAAAGAGAUUCACCCAAAAAUGAAAAUUCUGUCAUUAUUGACUCAUCCUUCACUUGUUCCAAAUAUGUCUGACUUGCUUACUUCAGUUAAACACAAAAAAAUUAUAUUUUAAAGAAAGAUGAAAACCUGCAAACAUUAACUUCCAUAGUAUUUGUUUUUUCCUACUAUGUAUGUCAAUGUUUUCAGCUUUCCAGCUUUCUUCAAAAAACUUCCUUCAUGUUCAACACAAAGUAACUUGGAAGUUUUUAAAAAAGGUUUACAACCACUUAAAGGAGAGUAAAUAGUGAACUGUUCCUUUAACCCAAUCUAGUUGACUUUACUAGAAAAUUGUAUAGAAACCCAGUGGCUUAAACCCCUUACAUUUUAUACAAGGUACAACUUAACAGCCAAACUUGAAUUAAAAUGUUACUGUAAGUUCAAGAAGAUUGUAAAGGUUCUAGGUUAAUUUAAAGUGGGCUGUUUAGUUUCACCUUGUGUAAAAACAUAAAGGAUUUAAGGCAACAUGUUUCUAUGCAGUUUUCUAAUAAAGUCAACUAGUUUGGGUUAAGAGUGUAAUGGGUUACAGUAAUAGCAGUGAAUCAUGCAGGCAUAAAAUAAAUGUUUAGCCAUGUAAAGCAAUAAGCUUGUUAUAAUUUAGAAAUAUUUUAGGGUGAAGCACAGUAUGCUGUUGUAGUUUUCAUAUAAUUGAUGAGUCAAACAUGAGAUGUGUUUUAAAUUGCAAGACGUGAAUUAACAAUAUGUUCAUCAAGAUUCAAAUCUUGCAUCUUAUAUUUUUUAAGGUUUUGGCCCAAUAAUACCCAUAUUCUGCUAUUUAAAAAAUCAUGCUGGAAUUUGUGUCAGCAUUCCCUUCAAUGAAAACUACAACAGUGGACAUCAGUGGUGAUAAAAAUGUAUGUGAAGGAUAAGGGUGUUCAUAAUGAGAAGUGCAGUUACUAUCCUGAUCUCUGAGUUUGUAGAACUGACAGAUCUGCUUGGAAUAAAUGGAAACAUGCUGGAAAUGUUUAACCUAUUAUACAGUUAAUUCAAGAGUGCCAGGUUUAAUGACACUUUACAUAUAUAAAUAAAUAUCACUGAACUUUCUAAAUGAAACCUAACGCUCAUUCUUUGUUCAGUAAUGAUAUUGUGCACUUCUAAUACUUUACAGUGGCAAAACCUGGAAUAACACAUGGGAGCCCUCCAGGAAUUCCUGACACUUUACGCCCAAGUCUCCUCAUGCUAACCGGAUUGCAAUAUGACAGUCUAAUCAGCAUAAACACCUGGACUCACCAAGCACACUUUGGUUCUCAGUGUUUUGUAAAAAUAGUUUUUGCUAUUCUUCAGUAAAUACUUGAAUAUGUUUUGAACUUAUUCUACUUUUGAUGUUUAAGUUCAGAAAGUUGUUAUUAUAAACAUAAUUUGCAUUUGUCAUGAACUUGACUUCUUGUUAUUGUGAAAGCUGUUUAUUAUGAUGGCAUUUCCAAAGGCAUCAUUUGAAAAGAUUUUUUGCAGUGCAGUUUUACUUGAGCUUGACAUACCAGAUGUAUGACAUGAAUAAAUAUCACAAAAUAAAUAUAAUAAUAAUAAUACAAAAUAUACAUUUCCUUCAAUUAUAAUUGUUUUUAAUCAUUUAUAUAUGUAUGGUAAUAUAUUAUUGCAUUAAAAACUUAUAAAAUAUAUAUUUUUGGUUAAAAUAUAUAUUUUUGCAUUUUUGUGUGAUUUUUAUUAUUUAUUUUUAUUUGUGGCAUUAUAAAUAAAUUAUAAAUGUUUCAUUAAAAAUUUAUUGUGUUUAUUUGCAUUCUCGUUUACAAUGAACUACUAUUUAUACUAUUUAAUGGGCACUAUAUUUGUCAUUUAAGUUUGACAUAUAUUUAUAUUUGUAUACCUACAUGAUGCAGGGUUUAGUUGCAGCAAAUGCUUGAAAUGUUUUCAAACAUGAAGCUUUUUUAUUAUUUUAUUAUUCGUUUCAAAUUAAGUAUACUGCCUAUGAUCUGGUUUUACUAUGAUCAUUUUGCACAUCAGGUUACCCCCACAAAGUAAUCUCACGGUAAAUAUACAUUUGUAUUUUUAAUAAGACAAUAAAUAACAUGUAAUAUUAAUACACAUUUUGAUAUUUAAGUUAUAUUAUAAGGUUAUAAUCAACCUUCAGCCGGAAGAUUACCAAAUAGAGACAAAGUGUGACGUAGAUUGCGACGUUGUGAUUGGACUAUAACUUCAAAGCCAAAUUAAAAGAUCCUUCGUGUUGCUAACUAUGUUUUGCUAACUUUGCCACUUUACUAACAGUGUCCUUUAUCAAUGAGUUAUCGCUGUGUUUUAAAUAGUUAACGAUUAACCAAGAUCGUAACCCUAAACUUAACCCUAACUACACCUUUCAAGGAACUACAAUUUGUAGCGCCAUGUCUUUCCCCUCCCAUCUCUACAGCGACAAAGGAUUGUGGGUAAUGUAGUUUAAGGCCUUUUUGUAAUAAAAUGGAACAGAUACAAAUUUUAAUGAACUAAAGACUAUCUGAAUAAGGUCAUUGUGCAUAUAUUUAUGACAUAUAUGAAAGCCAGGCAUAAAUUUGUUAUUUUACAAUGAGUAUUUUUUAAACAGCUUUUAUUGACUUGAUCAGUAUAUAUCAGACUAUUAUAUCCAACAUUAUUUAUUGAACAUAGCAUAGGUAAUAGUCUUGCUGAUAUUCUCUCACUCAUUUCUCGUUUGAAAUGUGAAUACUUUUUCCUUUUCUACGGGGCUCUACUCAUCCCCUUUGAGUAAAAGGGCAGUUAACCUAUGUAGAUGUAUUAUCUUCAACAUGGACAAGAAAUUGUAUUGUCACAUGUACAGUUGUGGUAAAAAAAAAAAAAAAGCUGUAAAAAUAAGCUAAACAUUAGUAUCCUCUUUAAUUACAAGUUAUUAGCAAUAGUGAUCUAUGUUCAUCACAAAUGUUAUGAGUUCAGAAUAAUAUGUGUGGAUGUAAUUCUGUAAGUGUGUUUCAUUAAUGGUCAUCAUGUGAUAUUUAAUUGUUUUCACUUUAUUUGAAAUAUGGAUAAAAGCUCUUUUAAAAUAUGUAAAUGUUUAUAAAUAAAACCUUUUUAAAGACAUGUAUUUGUUUAAAAACCACUCUUUUUCUGAUUAUUUUUACUUUCUAAAUCUUCAACUGUUUGUGUAACAGUAUGAUUUGAUGACAAUGGAUGAACUUGUGUUUAAUAAUGAUUCCACAUAAUGUCUUUGUCCUGCAUGUGGGUUAAUUUGUUAAUUAUUUUCUUUAUGAUCAAAUGGUUGUAAGAUUUGCUGCAUUGUAAGAAUCAUGAAAAUAUUGAGAAAUGAGGUAACAAUGAUGAAAAGAUAUCUUUUCAAAUGCUGCGAAUAGUUCAAACCUCCAAAUGAUUAAAAAUACAUAGCCAUUAACCAACAAAAUAAAAAUGCAAACAUUUAAAUUAUCUAAACUAGAAGUAAAAUAGUUC